rnacentral:tRNA from 1 species
GGGGAUAUGGCGGAAUUGGUAGACGCUACGGAAAAUCCGUUGACUUUUUUAAUCGUGAGGGUUCAAGUCCCUCUAUCCCCA